UGUGUGGAUGAUGAGAGUGUUUUUACAGUUUGUGUAUUUACAGAAGUAGCCAUUGCAGAAGGGUUUAAUGAACAUCCAUUGCAUUUUACCCUUGCCUGAAAAAGAUUUAAAUUGGUUGCCGGAAGUGCUGCUCCGAUCUGCAUGGUUUUGAGAGAGAAUGUGGAUAGAUUUAGAGAGAGAGAAAAGACAACGGGCUAGUUAGAUUAAGGUUACAGAAAGAGACAGCUACUUCGUUAGUU
rnacentral:lncRNA from 1 species